rnacentral:rRNA from 1 species
UGCAGUCGAGGGGUAGAGUUCUUCGGAGCUUGAGACCGGCGCACGGGUGCGUAACGCGUAUGCAAUCUACCUUUUACAGAGGGAUAGCCCAGAGAAAUUUGGAUUAAUACCUCAUAGUAUAAUUGAAUGGCAUCAUUUAAUUAUUAAAGUCACAACGGUAAAAGAUGAGCAUGCGUCCCAUUAACUAGUUGGUAAGGUAACGGCUUACCAAGGCUACGAUGGGUAGGGGUCCUGAGAGGGAGAUCCCCCACACUGGUACUGAGACACGGACCAGACUCCUACGGGAGGCAGCAGUGAGGAAUAUUGGACAAUGGGCGCAAGCCUGAUCCAGCCAUGCCGCGUGCAGGAUGACGGUCCUAUGGAUUGUAAACUGCUUUUGUACAGGAAGAAACACUGGUUCGUGAACCAGCUUGACGGUACUGUAAGAAUAAGGAUCGGCUAACUCCGUGCCAGCAGCCGCGGUAAUACGGAGGAUCCAAGCGUUAUCCGGAAUCAUUGGGUUUAAAGGGUCCGUAGGCGGUUUGGUAAGUCAGUGGUGAAAGCCCAUCGCUCAACGGUGGAACGGCCAUUGAUACUGCUAGACUUGAAUUAUUAGGAAGUAACUAGAAUAUGUAGUGUAGCGGUGAAAUGCUUAGAGAUUACAUGGAAUACCAAUUGCGAAGGCAGGUUACUACUAAUAUAUUGACGCUGAUGGACGAAAGCGUGGGUAGCGAACAGGAUUAGAUACCCUGGUAGUCCACGCCGUAAACGAUGGAUACUAGCUGUUGGGCGCAAGUUCAGUGGCUAAGCGAAAGUGAUAAGUAUCCCACCUGGGGAGUACGUUCGCAAGAAUGAAACUCACAGAAAUUGACGGGGAGGGAAUUGC